rnacentral:piRNA from 1 species
UGACCCAAGGAGUUCUGUUAUGGUAC